rnacentral:lncRNA from 1 species
GAUUUUUAGGCAGGUUUUUUUGUUUGUUUUUUGGGUUUUUUUUUUGUAAAUUGUAGGUAUAGAAUUUGAUUUGUUCCUAUCUACAUAAUUCUUUACAGGGUAUGGGUACAGAUCUGAGUACAGAAACAUGGUAUAUUUGCAUCACAGAAACCAAUACCACGGCCUCCAGAAGUCUCCAGCUUAAAUUCAGAGUGUCUGCUAAGCUAAAGGUUUUUUACAGAUCUCCAAGCAAAGAAGCUGUAGUAAAUGGAAACCACUGUAAGUCCAAUGGAUUUCACAUUGACACAAGACAUAAAGGAAAAUAAAACGUAUCUGCAGAAUUCUGCCUUAUUUUGGGACAUAAUCCAGCUGUCUCUGAAAAGUGGCAAUUUUUCCUAAAUCUUCUAAGUCUUUAG